rnacentral:rRNA from 1 species
UACGUAGGGUGCGAGCGUUGUCCGGAAUUAUUGGGCGUAAAGAGCUCGUAGGCGGUUUGUCGCGUCGACUGUGAAAACUGGGGGCUUAACUCUCAGCUUGCAGUUGAUACGGGCAGACUUGAGUUCGGUAGGGGAGACUGGAAUUCCUGGUGUAGCGGUGGAAUGCGCAGAUAUCAGGAGGAACACCGAUGGCGAAGGCAGGUCUCUGGGCCGCAACUGACGCUGAGGAGCGAAAGCAUGGGGAGCGAACAGG